rfam:Gaeumannomyces graminis var. tritici R3-111a-1 unplaced genomic scaffold supercont2.5, whole genome shotgun sequence.
GCCCGCUUGGCUUAGUGGUAAAGCGUAUCACUAGUACGGCGCUUGGGAUCCGCUCCUGAGACCUGCUUGGUAAUAUGAUAAGAUCGUCAGUUCGAUUCUGACAGUGGGCA